rnacentral:rRNA from 1 species
GUUUGAUCAUGGCUCAGAUUGAACGCUGGCGGCAGGCUUAACACAUGCAAGUCGAGCGGGGGAAGGUAGCUUGCUACUGGACCUAGCGGCGGACGGGUGAGUAAUGCUUAGGAAUCUGCCUAUUAGUGGGGGACAACAUCUCGAAAGGGAUGCUAAUACCGCAUACGUCCUACGGGAGAAAGCAGGGGAUCUUCGGACCUUGCGCUAAUAGAUGAGCCUAAGUCGGAUUAGCUAGUUGGUGGGGUAAAGGCCUACCAAGGCGACGAUCUGUAGCGGGUCUGAGAGGAUGAUCCGCCACACUGGGACUGAGACACGGCCCAGACUCCUACGGGAGGCAGCAGUGGGGAAUAUUGGACAAUGGGGGGAACCCUGAUCCAGCCAUGCCGCGUGUGUGAAGAAGGCCUUAUGGUUGUAAAGCACUUUAAGCGAGGAGGAGGCUACUUUAGUUAAUACCUAGAGAUAGUGGACGUUACUCGCAGAAUAAGCACCGGCUAACUCUGUGCCAGCAGCCGCGGUAAUACAGAGGGUGCGAGCGUUAAUCGGAUUUACUGGGCGUAAAGCGUGCGUAGGCGGCUUAUUAAGUCGGAUG